GUUACCAUACCGAAACAUGCCUACUUUAACAAUAAAGUCAGUUAAAAGCUAUCCCGGACUUGAACCCUUUCCUUGAAGAACUACUCAACAUUUGGUGAUCCUGACGUUCUUGGAAAAGUUCUACCGAGACUCUAGCCACGCAGUCGUCGAGAUGCAAUACAAGCUGGAUGCAGGCGCCAUUGAGAGGAGCAGGUUCUGCUAGUCGGGAGAGUGGUGGAGAAACCAAAGGUACAGGCGCCCCCUGGUGGACGACGGGGGGGCUGGCGCUGUCCCAGUGAGAGGCCAUUAGGCCUGAUGACUAAAGGGGGGGGUUAAGGGCGGACAUCCUGAUAUGGGUGAGUUACUAGUAAUUGCUGUUGUAUCAAUGGGUUGGUGAGGACUGCGUUGGGUGGUGUUGGUGGAGGACCAGCAGUGGGUGUAGCC
ensembl:lncRNA